AGGCGAACUUUCACCUUCACUUUUGCUCUCUCACUUGAUGAAGAUUGGAAAGGACCAAUCGUAUACGUACUGAUCUUAGCAGGCACCUGCAGUUCGCUCACAUCAGCAUAUUGUACAUCGAUGGUGAAUGUCCCUGACCUGUAGAAUGUCAAAGCCUUUAUACUGGGUAUGGGAUUUCCCUUGGGAAAGACAAUUGUGCUUUGCUGAUUAUCUGCUGCUCCACUCUGCGAAUCUGGUGCAGCACCUUUCCAUGAUAAAGCAACUGA
rnacentral:misc_RNA from 1 species